rnacentral:tRNA from 1 species
GGGUCGGUGGUCUAGCUUGGCUACAAUCCGUCACUCGUGACCGGUUGCCAAAAAUGAUUCUUGGUUUGGGUCCAAGGGAUCCCCGGUUCAAAUCCGGGCCGGCCCACCA